rnacentral:rRNA from 1 species
AGAGUUUGAUCAUGGCUCAGGAUGAACGCUAGCGGCAGGCCUAACACAUGCAAGUCGAGGGGCAUCGGGAUUGAAGCUUGCUUCAAUUGCCGGCGACCGGCGCACGGGUGCGUAACGCGUAUGUAACCUACCUAUAACAGGGGCAUAACACUGAGAAAUUGGUACUAAUUCCCCAUAAUAUUCGGAGAGGCAUCUCUCCGGGUUGAAAACUCCGGUGGUUAUAGAUGGACAUGCGUUGUAUUAGCUAGUUGGUGAGGUAACGGCUCACCAAGGCAACGAUACAUAGGGGGACUGAGAGGUUAACCCCCCACACUGGUACUGAGACACGGACCAGACUCCUACGGGAGGCAGCAGUGAGGAAUAUUGGUCAAUGGACGCAAGUCUGAACCAGCCAUGCCGCGUGCAGGAAGACGGCUCUAUGAGUUGUAAACUGCUUUUGUACGAGGGUAAACUCACCUACGUGUAGGUGACUGAAAGUAUCGUACGAAUAAGGAUCGGCU